CCCCUCCGCCGCGUUCUGUAGGGGGCACUGCAGGGUCGCGCAUUUCCAGAGGGAAAGUUCCCGGGAAACUGCCCCCCGCCCCCAAUUAGCUCUGCCCCGCGCGCCCGCCAGCCGGGCCGUCCCCGGCCCAGCCCUCGAGAAGCCUCCACCCGGGCCGGCGGGACUCGGCGGGGGCUGCUCCGACUCCGAGCCCGGGCGGCGACUGGCGGGCGGCCUGCGUGGGCCGGAACCACCUGCAGGCCGGGUGGCCCGGAGUGCAGUCAGCUCGCCCCCCGAGCCCCCUCCUGCCCUCUUCAGAGAACCGAUCUUGGUAAAUAACAACCGAGCUGCUUUUCUGCACAAACAUCAAAUCAGCUACUGUGAUCAUCUGCCUCUAGGUUUUCUUCACCAGCUCCCUCGUCUUCCUCCUGAGCACUCCACGGGGGCUUCCAGCUUGCAGCACAGAGCUGGCUGGUGUCCUGCACAUCCAACACAAGCUGUCAGUUUCCUGCCUAAGUGUGUGCCUCCUGCUCUGUGCCUGAUCUGUAGUAAUGACUCCCCAAGAGAGCCUCUGGCUUCUGCUGUCCCUGCUGCUCUUUGCCCCACCACCUGCUGAGGAGCCAUCCACAGCCAAAGUGGGAAAGGUCCUGUGUCCUGAUUACCGACUGUCCAUGUUCCUGUCCCUGUUUGCUUCCUGCUGCUCUUAUCAAGAAAAUUACAGAGGCCAGUGUAGCCGGACUUAUACCUCCAAAGCUGGCUCCCCGCCUCCUGUUCUCCAAGCAUCACCUUUCUCAAGAGGCACUUUGUUCCUGUUCUGCUGCUGCUGACUGCUUCUUUUGUCUUCAUUCUGUCUACAAGAAGAAAUUAACUUCCACUUCACAGCCUCCGCACCACUCCUACCUUGAAUCCUGUUGCACACACUGUGCUUCCUGUUUGGCCCCUUUUCACAUUCGCGUCCAUACCUGCCUCUCCCUUGCACCACUUCUAGAAAAUUCUCACUCUCCUUCCAGAAUCUGGCUCUGGAGCCCCUGGUGAGAUCUUCCCCAACCAACCUAGGGCUACCUGGAAGGUAUCAGUCACUUUGGUUUCUUGCAGCACAAGCACCGUGGUCCCACAUGGCCUACAGGACACACCCCCGUCUUGUGUUGAUCUGGCCUCAUGUCUCUCCUUCACUAGAGGAAGAACAUGUGGAAGACAGGUGCUGGCCGGCUUGGCCCUGUGAGCCUUGUGCGAGUGGGGAAUAGGUGUCUUUAGAAUGUGCUACCUGUAAUCAGGACCCAUGUCUAAGCUCAGAUGCCUUCAGGAGAUUUGGGUUAAUGAGAAGGUUCUAUAAAUCCAGGGCAGAGAUUUUGUUUCUCUAAUUGGCACACCUCCCUCCUUCCUCUUCCUUAAAGCCAACUCAUCCUUAGCUGGCAAUCUAAGUUGAUUUGUGCCUCAAGGUUGGGUUGUUUGUGAUGUCUUCUUCGUUCCCUCUUUCUCUCUCUUUUUUUCCUUCCAAAGUUCAAUUUUAAACCAAGUUAAAUGUUUCCUUUCGUUCUAUCUUCCUUUGACUUACCCAAGCUACCCCAAUAGGACCAACAACCUGCUUCUUGUCCUUGAUGGAAAUAAAGGCCGACUGUACUGGGUUCACAUCAAAUUAUGUCUGAAC
rnacentral:lncRNA from 1 species